rnacentral:rRNA from 1 species
ACGCUCGACACCUAUGGGAGGCAGCAGUGGGGAAUAUUGCACAAUGGGGGAAACCCUGAUGCAGCGACGCCGCGUGAGCGAAGAAGUAUUUCGGUAUGUAAAGCUCUAUCAGCAGGGAAGAAACUGACGGUACCUGACUAAGAAGCACCGGCUAAAUACGUGCCAACAGCCGCGGUAAUCUGAGCGGGCUGGCAAGGC